UUUAUCUUCAAAAUGCCUCAGUCUCUCUUGUACUGUGAAGCAACAUGGAUCUGUGAAAGAUAAAAGCCCUGGAUACAAACUGUGGAGACAGACAGAUACGCAUUGCUGAAAAUCAAGUACUGACAUUAAUUUCACCACCUGUGAAGAAUGUGUGUUUUAAUUUGCGAUGA